CAGGCCUAACACAUGCAAGUCGAACGGUGGCAGCAAUGCCAUAGUGGCGCACGGGUGCGUAACACGUAACUAACCUGCCCAGACCUGGGGGAUAGCCCGCCGAAAGGCGGAUUAAUACCGCAUGAGAUAAUAAGGUGGCAUCACCUAGUUAUUAAAGAUUUAUCGGGUUUGGAUGGGGUUGCGGGUCAUUAGCUAGUUGGUAAGGUAAUGGCUUACCAAGGCGACGAUGACUAGGGGAGCUGAGAGGCUGGUCCCCCACACGGGCACUGAGAUACGGGCCCGACUCCUACGGGAGGCAGCAGUAGGGAAUAUUGGGCAAUGGGCGAGAGCCUGACCCAGCCAUGCCGCGUGCAGGAAGAAGGCUUUCUGAGUCGUAAACUGCUUUUGAUAGGGAAGAAUAACCAGUACGUGUACUGGGAAAACGGUACCGGCGGAAUAAGCACCGGCUAACUCCGUGCCAGCAGCCGCGGUAAU
rnacentral:rRNA from 1 species